rnacentral:rRNA from 1 species
GCAUAUCAAUAAGCGGAGGAAAAGAAACUAACAAGGAUUCCCCUAGUAACGGCGAGUGAAGCGGGAUGAGCUCAAAUUUAAAAUCUGGCGGCCUCAGGUCGUCCGAGUUGUAGUCUAGAGAAUCGUUUUCCGCGUUGGCCUGUGUACAAGUCCCUUGGAACAGGGCGUCAUAGAGGGUGAGAAUCCCGUCCUUGACACAGAUUACCAAUGCUUUGUGAUGCGAUCUCGAAGAGUCGAGUUGUUUGGGAAUGCAGCUCAAAAUGGGUGGUAAAUUCCAUCUAAAGCUAAAUAUUGGCGAGAGACCGAUAGCGAACAAGUACCGUGAGGGAAAGAUGAAAAGCACUUUGGAAAGAGAGUUAAACAGUACGUGAAAUUGUUAAAAGGGAAACGAUUGAAGUCAGUCAUGCUUUCCGAGACUCAGCCGAUUCUGUCGGUGUACUUCUCGGUUGGCAGGCCAGCAUCAGUUUCGAUCUGUGGAAAAGGUUGGAGGGAACGUGGCAUCUUCGGAUGUGUUAUAGCCCUUCUUCGAAUACAUAGAGCGGGACUGAGGAACGCAGCGCGCCUUUUAUUAGGUUGGCCCUCGGGUACAUACGCGCU